UGUGACUGCGUACCUUUUGUAUAAUGGGUCAGCGACUUAUAUUUUGUAGCGAGGUUAACCGAAUAGGGUAGCCGUAGCGAAAGCGAGUCUUAACUGGGCGCUUAGUUGCAAGGUAUAGACCCGAAACCCGGUGAUCUAGCCAUGGGCAGGUUGAAGGUUGAGUAACAUCAACUGGAGGACCGAACCCACUAACGUUGAAAAGUUAGGGGAUGACCUGUGGCUAGGAGUGAAAGGCUAAUCAAACCGGGAGAUAGCUGGUUCUCCCCGAAAUCUAUUUAGGUAGAGCCUCGGACGAAUACUUACGGGGGUAGAGCACUGUUAAGGCUAGGGGGUCAUCCCGACUUACCAACCCUUUGCAAACUCCGAAUACCGUAAAGUAAUAUCCGGGAGACACACGGCGGGUGCUAACGUCCGUCGUGAAGAGGGAAACAACCCAGACCGCCAGCUAAGGUCCCAAAGUGUAUGUUAAGUGGGAAACGAUGUGGGAAGGCUAAAACAGCUAGGAGGUUGGCUUAGAAGCAGCCACCCUUUAAAGAAAGCGUAAUAGCUCACUAGUCGAGUCGGCCUGCGCGGAAGAUGUAACGGGGCUAAACAUACCACCGAAGCUGCGGCUGCGAAUUUAUUCGCGGGGUAGGGGAGCGUUCUGUAAGCGGUUGAAGGUGUACCGGGAGGUAUGCUGGACGUAUCAGAAGUGCGAAUGCUGACAUGAGUAACGACAAGAGGAGUGAAAAACUCCUCCGCCGGAAGACCAAGGGUUCCUAUCCCAUGUUAAUCAGGGUAGGGUAAGUCGACCCCUAAGGCGAGGCUGAAGAGCGUAGUCGAUGGGAAACGGGUUAAUAUUCCCGUACUUGGAAUAAUUGCGAUGGGGGGACGGAGCAGGCUAAGUAAGCAUGGCGUUGGUUGUCCAUGUGAAAGUGCGUAGGCUGAGAACUUAGGAAAAUCCGGGUUCUUAAGGCUGAGACACGAGACGAGCCACUACGGUGGUGAAGUUACUGAUGCCCUACUUCCAGGAAAAGCCUCUAAGCUUCAGAUUAUUUCGAAUCGUACCCCAAACCGACACAGGUGGUCAGGUAGAGAAUACUAAGGCGCUUGAGAGAACUCGGGUGAAGGAACUAGGCAAAAUUGUACCGUAACUUCGGGAGAAGGUACGCUGACAUUAGGUGAAGGACUUCGCGUCUGGAGCUGAAGUCAGCCGCAGUGACCAGGUGGCUGGGACUGUUUAUUAAAAACACAGCACUGUGCAAAAUCGUAAGAUGACGUAUACGGUGUGACACCUGCCCGGUGCCGGAAGGUUAAUUGAUGGGGUUAGUCCUUGGACGAAGCUCUUGAUCGAAGCCCCGGUAAACGGCGGCCGUAACUAUAACGGUCCUAAGGUAGCGAAAUUCCUUGUCGGGUAAGUUCCGACCUGCACGAAUGGUGUAACCAUGGCCACGCUGUCUCCACCCGAGACUCAGUGAAAUUGAAAUCGCAGUGAAGAUGCUGUGUACCCGCGGCUAGACGGAAAGACCCCGUGAACCUUUACUACAGCUUGGCACUGAACAUUGACCCUACAUGUGUAGGAUAGGUGGGAGGCUUUGAAGCACAGACGCUAGUUUGUGUGGAGCCGACCUUGAAAUACCACCCUUGUAGUGUUGAUGUUCUAACUUAGGCCCCUAAUCGGGGUUGAGGACAGUGCCUGGUGGGUAGUUUGACUGGGGCGGUCUCCUCCCAAAGAGUAACGGAGGAGCACGAAGGUUGGCUAAGUACGGUCGGACAUCGUACGGUUAGUGUAAUGGUAGAAGCCAGCUUAACUGCGAGACAGACACGUCGAGCAGGUACGAAAGUAGGUCAUAGUGAUCCGGUGGUUCUGAAUGGAAGGGCCAUCGCUCAACGGAUAAAAGGUACUCCGGGGAUAACAGGCUGAUACCGCCCAAGAGUUCAUAUCGACGGCGGUGUUUGGCACCUCGAUGUCGGCUCAUCACAUCCUGGGGCUGAAGUCGGUCCCAAGGGUAUGGCUGUUCGCCAUUUAAAGUGGUACGCGAGCUGGGUUUAGAACGUCGUGAGACAGUUCGGUCCCUAUCUGCCGUGGGCGUUUGAGAAUUGAGAGGGGCUGCUCCUAGUACGAGAGGACCGGAGUGGACGAACCGCUGGUGUUCGGGUUGUGAUGCCAAUUGCAUUGCCCGGUAGCUACGUUCGGAAUCGAUAACCGCUGAAAGCAUCUAAGCGGGAAGCGAGCCUCGAGAUGAGUUCUCACUUUAACUUUAAGUUAACUGAAGGGCCGUUGAAGACUACAACGUUGAUAGGCUGGGUGUGGAAGUGUAGUGAUACAUUAAGCUAACCAGUACUAAUUACCCGUGAGGCUUAACCAU
rnacentral:rRNA from 1 species